GCCACAGACUGGUUGGGUGACAUGUGGCAAAACCCUUCUGUCUAAUUGGGGGAAAUCACUGGAAUCUCUUCGUGGGCGGUAGGUGCCAAGUCCUGCACCAGUGUAGAGGAGCUGCUGGGAAGGCACUAGGUGCUGGCGGGGACAGAAGACGGAAGGUGCUUCCUCCUGGAGUGACCAGAUGAGAGGCAGUGACUAGCUGGAACCCCAUUGCUCUGCAUGUGAAAAGUGAAGAGCUAACAGCUCAGGGGACUAUGUGGGGGAUCCGGGCUUCAAGGAGGUCAUUCAGGAAGAAGACCAUGAAAGUUGGAUAUCUGCAAGUCAAGGAUUGAACCUUCUGGAGACACCAGCCCUGUGGACACCUUGAACUUUGACUUCUAGUCUCUAAAGAUGUAAUAAAGAAAUUUUCUGUUGCUU